rnacentral:rRNA from 1 species
UACAGAGGGUGCGAGCGUUAAUCGGAAUUACUGGGCGUAAAGGGUGCGUAGGUGGUUAUGUAAGUUAGGUGUGAAAUUCCUGGCUUAACCUGGGACUGCGCCUGAUACUGUGUAGCUAGAGUACUGUAGAGGAAAGUGGAAUUUCCGGUGUAGCGGUGAAAUGCGUAGAUAUCGGAAGGAACAUCGGUGGCGAAGGCGACUUCUGGACAGCUACUGACACUGAGGCACGAAAGCAUGGGAGCAACAGG